AUUGAACGCUGGCGGCAGGCUUAACACAUGCAAGUCGAGCGGGGGAAGGUAGCUUGCUACCGGACCUAGCGGCGGACGGGUGAGUAAUGCUUAGGAAUCUGCCUAUUAGUGGGGGGCAACAUCUCGAAAGGGAUGCUAAUACCGCAUACGUCCUACGGGAGAAAGCAGGGGAUCUUCGGACCUUGCGCUAAUAGAUGAGCCUAAGUCGGAUUAGCUAGUUGGUGGGGUAAAGGCCUACCAAGGCGACGAUCUGUAGCGGGUCUGAGAGGAUGAUCCGCCACACUGGGACUGAGACACGGCCCAGACUCCUACGGGAGGCAGCAGUGGGGAAUAUUGGACAGUGGGGGGAACCCUGAUCCAGCCAUGCCGCGUGUGUGAAGUAGGCCUUAUGGUUGUAAAGCACUUUAAGCGAGGAGGAGGCUACUUUAGUUAAUACCUAGAGAUAGUGGACGUUACUCGCAGAAUAAGCACCGGCUAACUCUGUGACAGCCGCCGCAGUAA
rnacentral:rRNA from 1 species